GGGUGGUCGAUUGUGUGUUUGGACACUAGGAGCCGUGGAGGGAGGCAGGAGUCGACCCAAGGCGAGUUGCAAUCGAGGUAUCUCCGCUCCGGUUUCCUCUUCUGCCCGGCGACCCCCCCUAACCCGCUCCUCCCUGGAGCCGAGCUGGAGAGGGGGAAACCAGGAUUUUAACCACAUUAGCAUUCACAUUCCUGGGAGGAUGCAGCUCUCGCCUGGACUUGAGCGAUAGAAGCCUUUUUCUGUUUUUAUUUUUGGAGGGGAGCGCCCUGCAAUUGUGAACACAUGCUUCUCCACCUCCCCCCCCCCACUCCUUCCUCUAGCCACCAGCGACAGAGAGAGUCCCCCUUUUUUGCAUUCAUCUUUUCCUUCCCCUUUCUUUAUUAAAGGUCCGGGAGUGGCGGCGGCCAAUCAGCGCGCGGCUUCCAUUUUGUGAGUUCAACUCCGAGGCUCCCGGGCUUCUCGAGGACGCGUUUGCCGCCCCCUCUGCCUCUCUUCUCGGGCGGCCGAGGCGAGCCAGCCGCCUCGCUGGGGCUUCGUGGUGGUGUAUUUCAUAUUGGGGCUCUUUUCGGGGUUUGUAAUUUGGCCGUGGGUAGGUAAUUGGCUGGAGCAGGGCGGCAGGGCGCGGCAGCCAAUCAGCGCGCGGCUUCUAUAGGGCUUGAGUUAUUAGACGCUGAUCUCAAAACAUCCUUCAUCAGACACCAAGGAGAGGCCAACAGAUGAGGGGAGCCAUUUUUCUGCAAUGGAAUUAAAUGGCCAAGUGGGUUUUUCCUUUGUUGCAAAUGGGGAAUGUUUUUCCUUUGACUCCACCAUCCAGUUCAGGACGCCUGAAUGUGGUGUUUAACAUUUGUCAACAGGCUAAAGGACUCACAAUUGGAAGAAUGAAGACCUUUUAAAAAGAUCUGGAUUUUUCCUUAUGACUUGGAAUCCAUCUUUGUCUUGUAUAACUAGGUCAUAGCACACCAUUAAUGUCAGCAGUUAACAGUUUUGAAUUCCAAAAAACCUAAAGCAGUAAACUGUCCUCAGCGAAGCCGCCUUUUUGCCAACCCAACCCUGGAAAGUUUGCAGACGUGGAAGGAGCAGAAAAUGCCAUGAGAGUGUAACUUACAAAAAAGCUUCAUCUCCUCUUAGACACCAUGGUACCAAGGCUGAGCGGGGCCUUGGCCGGAGAAGGGACAACUCGGUAACCCCGGAAUGGAUCAUCUUCCCUUCUUUCUGGUGAACAAGAGAGAACAAACCUAGUUUGGCUGGCAGUCCUCCCGCCAAGGUAGGUGACAGCCCUUUUCCCAGGCUGUGAGGGCAACCGGAGGGGCUUUGGCUGGCCUGCAGCCCAGGGAGGGCAGGUCGGGAUCCCCAAACUCGCUAGUCUGGUUCUGCAGCCCCUCCCCCCCACAGAUGUGACGGCUGUGUGUGUGAAAUGGGCGACCUGCUGAGUCCACCCAGUCCUGCCUGACGGCCUCUGUUGUCAGGCAUUUGGGGCGGGCAGUUCUCUGCCGAAUUUAGCAGCUUACUACAGACUGUGCUUGCAAGUAUUUCCCAGUUGUGUGUUUUGUGAUGGGAGAGUGGGGAGGGCCCUGGAUCUCUCCUGCUUCUGAAAGGCACAGGCCACCGCCUGGCCAAGCUCUCCUCUUCUCCCUCCCCAGAGCGGGUGGCCCUGUGAGCUGCCCUCUUGAUGUCUGGCUGCUGGGGAGGUGAAGAACAGAAGGACCUGAGGUCCAGGCCAGCUACUCCCAAGAAAGAAGUUUGACUUUUCUCUCUCUCCCUGACAGUCCCACGAUUCCUCCUAGCUCUCAAAACAGGCAGAUGUAGAUCUUCGGUUUCUAGAAUCAGACAGUCCUGGUUGUGAAAUCUGGUUGGCUAUUUACUGGCUGUGACCUUGAAUAUGCUGUGUAGUCUCUGAGCCCAUUUCCCCAUCUCCACAAAUGGGCUAGAUCAGUGGCUCUGAAACUUCAGCAAGCAUCAGAGUCCCGAGGGGUGGGGGGCCUUAUUAAAACUGACUUCCAGUCCCUGAGUUUCUGAGUCAGUGGAUGGAACCUGAGAACUUCUAUUUCUCACAAGUUCCCAGGUGAUGCAACGUUCCAGACCUUCCGGGGUGUUUCAGGGCUUGGUCCCUAGCAGUUAGCAUCAUAUUAGGGCUGUUCUCAUUUUUGUAGUGUGAGCUGACCUCCUAUAGCCUGCCCUCUUCUUGGUGUCCAAGAAUUACCACAGCUGGAGAUGGUGUGGCCCUUGAUCUCUGCGCCCUGCCCAUGUGCACUCUAGUCUGUGAUUACUUAGAGCCAUUUGGGCCCAGGUGGUUCCCCUAUUUGGGCCUCAGCUUCCCAGGCUAAUCAGUCUUGUCCCUUUCCUCCUCACCCCCAGCUUGAGAGCUGAACUGUGGAUGGGGAGCCUGGGAAGCCUCCCGGACUGUUGCAGGUAUCCUGGUGCUUAAUCAAGGGAGGCGCCUAGUUGGGCAGCUCUGGACAGUGCUGAUGACCUUGGGCAAGUGUGUCCCCUGAAGUGAUAAUGAUGCAUGCUGGAAAGGGUGGUGGGAGGAUUAUGUGUGAUUAAGGGGGCCGUCCACUCUAGCUGGCUCUGCACUAGUUGGCCUCCAUUGGGAAUUGGGAAUUUGCUGGGAGUGGCUGUGGGGGUGGGGGCUGGGCUGUCUCCAGGGCUCCUCCCCCGACAGCCCACCAGAAGCACGUGGCUGAGCCUCUGGGCAAAGGGGAAAGAAAACUGGUUUUCCUUUGGGAAGGCAGUCAGCUUGUUUUUUUUUUUUUUUCCUCCAGUGUAGUUAGAGUCUGGCUUACAGUAGAGGGCUUCUCCCACCUACUCAUGGCCCUGAGAAUUGACUGGCCCAAGGUCAUGAGGUUACCACUAGCAGAGCCAGGAUAGGGUUCCAGGUGUCUUGACUUCCAGCCCAGAACCUGGGCCCAUAGCUCCCCCUUGCCCCAGCUGUCUGGGUUAUUUUGGGCUCCCUCCCAUGCCAGCUGUCUGCUGGCAUCUCUGCCCAAGAGGUGUUUGGUUGCAAAUAACCAGGACGGUGCUGUUUGUUCUUCCUGGUGGGCUGGCUGAGUGUCCAGUCCCAGCUGAGCUGGCCUUGGUCCUUCUCAUCCUACCCCAUCACAGUGGGUAUUGACUCUCCACCCAGAAAAGAGAGCAUGAGAACGGUUUGUCCAAGUAAAUGUGAUAAGCUCCUGCUCCAUCUUCCGAAGAAUUCCUUGAACCCUUUUGAUCAGCCUGAGGGUUUUGCUUCCCUUUGAUUAGAGUCCUUAGGGCUGGGGUCUUUAUGUCCCUCCACGGUUGCCUCAGGAUGAUUACAUAACUGAUUUAAGUCUUCCCCUCCCAGCCAUAACCUGGAGGACUACUGUAGCACUUCCACUAGCCCCAGAACAUCAGGGAGCACUUAGGUGCUAAACUGUUCUCGGAUGAUUCCUGGAGGGAGAAGUACAGGUGUCUGGGACCAAACUAGGACAGUAACCCUCUCCCUGCUUCCCUGUUUAAGCUCUUUUACCUCUUUUUCCUUUCUUUGUCCUCACACCCAUCCCAUUCCCUCCUGGGGAAUAGAGAGAGGCUCAGGGCAGUCUGCUGCUGUUGUUCAGCUCUCAGGGGAGCUCCGCCUACCAGUCACCCGGCCAGUGUGGGGCGGGACUGCUCCCGGCCUGCUGAGAGAGAGCCACGCCAGCGGAAGGGCGGCCUGGGCCUAAGGUGGAUGGACUAGCCUUCCUACUGAGACACCAGUGCCCCCGCCUCUUCCGGUCCCUCCACUAGGAGCCUAGCUUGGAAUAUGACCUUUUAGACUCUGGGUGAGAACAGCAGCUUGGAUUGGGGGAUAAGAACCAUCUGGGGUCAGCUCACCCCAGUGCUUUCUCCAACUGGUCUAUGCCCUCUGGCAAAUUCCUCCCUUCGUGAGCCAGGAGGAAGAAGUUGGACAGUAAUCUUUUAGGCUAUUUCUAAAAUUAUAUUUUUAAUAGACUGGUCUUGUUGCCCAGGCUAGUCUCAAUCUCCUGGGCUCAAGCAAUAGGAGUUACUGGGAUCCUGCUCAUCCCCCACCUGCCUGUAAGUGCUGAUGGGCUGCUGAAGCCUGGAGGGAGUCCUCCAGCUCGCAGAUUGGACAGCCCUGCACUCCCAGGCACCCUGGCCUGGCCACCUGCUUUCUCUGGGCCCUCAGGGAACAGCUCAGGCUGGGGUCUUUAUCUUCCACUGCUAUCAGUGCCAUCAGCAUUGAAUGGCUACAUAAUUGAUUUGUGGUACCUCAGAGCCCAGGAAGUAUCCCCUCAGCAUGUUCCUCAGCCCCUCCAUCCUACCCUGGACUGACCAGACUUUGCCCUGAGAGUGAAUUAGACCAGGCCCUGCUUCUCUCCUGGGUUCAGUUUCCCUGUUGGCCUCACUAAUGACAUAGUCCACAAAUGAACUCACCUCAUAGAGGCCUCUCUGUGUCCCAGCCUCUCUGUGGCAAGAACCAGCUUAAAGAAUCUUUCUUGCCCUCCUAAAACUUUUCAGGAAUUCCUGGUGAAUAGGAGAGUGACAACUCACGUCCAUCUUGAACAGGCCUCCAGGAUGACAGGCAUGCCCAGUUCCUGGCCUGGCCUGGCAGGCCUGACCUCUGAAGAAGCUUGGAGCAACUGGCUGGGCUCCUGGGUAUUUUUAGCUACAGAUCCAGUCCCACCAUCACCACUGGAGCUGGGUCCAAAUCACACAUGCUCCAGGCUGGAUGGGGUUGGGGUUUUGCCAGCCUCCUGGCCAAGCAGUGGUGAGUGGGUGGGUAGGCUAGGGCCAGUAGCAGCUGUUCUGCCUAGGCCAAGCAGGCCUGGAAGACUCACUCUUGCUCACUUCCUCCCUUUAGUUUUGUGCAGGCUUGCUCUGUCACAGAUCGUAGCCCCAUUUCUGAGGUAAAGAAAGUGGUAAGGAUUUUGAGGAGCAUCAAGAGCCCUCUGGGCAUGUGUAGUAAACCAGGGUUUCUUCCAUGAGCCUCCAAGUGAAUUCCCACCCCAGGCCUCUUUCCGAUGAGGUAGCUGCCAGCUAGGCCCAAGCCUGAGGCAGCCAGAGGGUAGAGCAUGGGGCCAGCAGCAAAGGUAAGUGAUCUUCACCUCUCCCCAAGCUCCCAAACCUCUUUUGUGGGACUGUCAGUCUACCCUGGCUUGACCCUUUUCUCUACUUGGGGUUCUGGGGACCUUUUUUUUUGUGUGUGGUACUAGGGUUUGAACUCAGGGCCUUAUGCUUACUAGACAGGAGCUCUACCACUUGAGCCACU